UACACGUGGGCCAACUACCCUCUGGAUCGGAAUCCCCUCGGGAAACUGAGGUCAAUUCCGAAUACGGCUCCCAGCCUGGAGUGGCGGGAGCCCGAAAUGCUCCGGCGCCAGAGGAUGUGGCUGCGGCCGAUUAGGUUGACGGUGGGGUAACGGCCCACCGUGCCGAUAAUCGGUACGGGUUGUGAGAGCAAGCGCCCGGAGACGGUAUCUGAGACAAGAUACCGGGCCCUACGGGGCGCAGCAGGCGCGAAACCUUUACACUGCACGCCAGUGCGAUAAGGGGACCCCGAGUGCGAGGGCAUACAGUCCUCGCUUUUGUACACCGUAGGGAGGUGUACGAAUAAGAGCUGGGCAAGACCGGUGCCAGCCGCCGCGGUAAUACCGGCAGCUCGAGUGAUGACCGCUAUUAUUGGGCCUAAAGCGUCCGUAGCCUGCCAGACGGGUCCGUCGGGAAAUCCACGUGCUUAACAUGUGGGCGUCCGGCGGAAACCAGCUGGCUUGGGACCGGAAGACCCAGAGGGUACGUCCGGGGUAGGAGUGAAAUCCUGUAAUCCUGGACGGACCGCCGGUGGCGAAAGCGCUCUGGGAAGACGGAUCCGACGGUGAGGGACGAAAGCUUGGGUCACGAACCGGAUUAGAUACCCGGGUAGUCCAAGCCGUAAACGAUGUCUGCUAGGUGUGACACAGGCUACGAGCCUGUGUUGUGCCGC
rnacentral:rRNA from 1 species